AGAGCGAACGCUGGCGUCAGGCUUAACACAUGCAAGUCGAGCGGGCGUAGCAAUACGUCAGCGGCAGACGGGUGAGUAACGCGUGGGAACAUACCUUUUGGUUCGGAACAACCCAGGGAAACUUGGGCUAAAUACCGGAUAAGCCCUUACGGGGAAAGAUUUAUCGCCGAAAGAUUGGCCCGCGUCUGAUUAGCUAGUUGGUGAGGUAACGGCUCACCAAGGCGACGAUCAGUAGCUGGUCUGAGAGGAUGAUCAGCCACAUUGGGACUGAGACACGGCCCAAACUCCUACGGGAGGCAGCAGUGGGAAUAUUGGACAAUGGGCGCAAGCCUGAUCCAGCCAUGCCGCGUGAGUGAUGAAGGCCCUAGGGUUGUAAAGCUCUUUUGUGCGGGAAGAUAAUGACGGUACCGCAAGAAUAACGCCCGGCUAACUUCGCGCCAGCAGCCGC
rnacentral:rRNA from 1 species